UACGUAGGGUGCGAGCGUUGUCCGGAAUUAUUGGGCGUAAAGGGCUCGUAGGCGGUUUGUCGCGUCGGGAGUGAAAACCUUGGGCUUAACUCAGGGCUUGCUUUCGAUACGGGCAGACUAGAGGUAUGCAGGGGAGAACGGAAUUCCUGGUGUAGCGGUGAAAUGCGCAGAUAUCAGGAGGAACACCGGUGGCGAAGGCGGGUCUCUGGGCAGUAACUGACGCUGAGGAGCGAAAGCGUGGGGAGCGAACAGG
rnacentral:rRNA from 1 species